rnacentral:rRNA from 1 species
UACAGAGGGUGCGAGCGUUGUCCGGAAUCACUGGGCGUAAAGGGCGCGUAGGCGGUGGCUUAAGCGUGUGGUGAAAGCUCAGGGCUCAACCCUGAGUCGGCCGUGCGAACUGGGUCACCGGAGCAUGUCAGAGGCAGGCGGAAUUCCGGGUGUAGCGGUGGAAUGCGUAGAGAUCCGGAAGAACACCGGUGGCGAAGGCGGCCUGCUGGGACAUCGCUGACGCUGAGGCGCGACAGCGUGGGGAGCAAACGAGG